GGCAUGAGUUUUUGUAAGUGGACCAUGUAAUUUUGCCUAGAUAAAUAUACAAUGUUAAUUAUUUCUUAUUCGAUUAAAGGAAAAAAAAACUGAAAAUAGUGUGCAAGUUGGAAAAUUAAGUACAAAGAAAAAGAAAUAAUAUAAAAGUGCAGUAAAAACAAAUUAAUGUAGGAUAAGGGUAGAAAAAGAAAGAGAAAGAACAAAAUAGAACAAAAUGUAACAAAAUUGAUUAAAAAGUAUUAAAACGCAAAAUAAAAAUGAAAUUUACUUGGCAUUAGAGAUUUAAUUUAAUUUAAGUAAUUAAUGAAACAUAAUCUCAACCAUUCAAUCCUUUCUAAUCUAAUAGUUGAAAACUUGUGUCAAAAAUAUAGUAUCACAGAUCCGCC
rnacentral:lncRNA from 1 species